GGGUUGAUCCAUUGGCUUCAGGCUUAAUUGUCUGUACUGGUGAGAUGAAUCUCUACCUUCUGAGGAACUUUCAUGCCAUUUAUUUGGUGUGAUGGGAAAUCAGGACUGUUACUUUGAAAAAUUAGAGUGUUUAAAGCAGGCUAACGUCUGAAUACAUUAGCAUGGAAUAAUGAAAUAGGACGGACUGAUUCUAUUUCGUUGGUUUCUAGGAUCACCGUAAUGAUUAAUAGGGAUAGU
rnacentral:rRNA from 1 species